rnacentral:lncRNA from 1 species
UCAAUGCCUCCAUAAGUUCCAUGGAUUCAAAUGGGUCUACUUCUGUGGUGACAUCCUUUAGUUUUCACAAACCACCACCACAACAAAGCCCUGUUUGAAUGGAAACUAUGGAGCCAUCUGACUUAUCCAAUCCCCAUUGAUCCUAGGGCGAUUUACUACGUUCAACAACAGGACUUGGGCCAAAGUUCAGCGAGAAGUCCUAUUCAGCAAAAAUCGUCCACCCAUCCUUCUGUUUGUACCCCGCCUGUUUUUUCCAAGGCUCAAAAGCUCCUGGAAAUGUUAUACAUGGCGGCUUCUUCCUCCUAGUCGGUGCAGUCCUACUUCUGUGAAAUGGCCCCUUAAUUCCCCCUUAAGUGAGUUUCGCUUCAUGUCUUCCUAUCCAUAUGUGUGAUUCCUGGUUCCCUCUCCUUGAUUUCUCUUCUCUCCCAAAGGCCUCCCAGAGGCCACCGUGUUGUCCAGCGUCGCCCGGAUUGGAUUGGAAAACAUCUCAAGAUGUUUCCUUCGCCCUGGGACCUGCUCCUUUCCACCGGAGAGUCAACCUGGAACCUUCUGCGUGGGAAGCAGACACGUUCGCCCUGAGUGAUGGGCUUUUCCCAACAUACGAGGGGGCCUCAGACGGAGUCAAAUCAUGGAUGCUCCCAGGCUAGCAUCCCCUACUACUCUGCCCCAUAGCAUAUCUUUGGACAGAGAGCCUUUCUGCUUUUGAUUUUUCUCAUUCAGCAUCCUGAAUUAAGCAUCUGCAGGCUGGGCAGCUGCUCCGUCUUUGACUGGAGCCCCGUUUAAUCCUUCCACCAUGUUGACACUUCAAAUUCUUCUCCAAGAAAAGGUUGGGUCCUCCUAUUGCCAGUGGCCCGUUCUGGGAGCCCUCCCCUAGGGGGGGAAGAGACGGGAUCUCGGGCUGUUGACCCACAGCAUCGUCCGAGAAACCCGAGAGCCCUCGAAGAUCUGACAUGCUCCCUGACGUGCUCCGGAUCCCGUCCCAACCUGAGCGGCACCACGGGCGGACGGAGCCGUUAGAAAGCCAAGAACACAAGGUGAAGAAAAGUCAACCAAGGACCUCUCCCGGUGAAUACCUCACUGUUCUCGCCGGGAUGUGGGUUGCCCUGGUAACCAAAAGGGAAGAACUGGGAUGCCAAGGUGCGAGGGCUGGGAGGAAGACAGUGGCUCUGAGCCCUUCAGAAAGGGCUUUGAGGGGGGAAAAGAAAGGCAAGUGCAGGAUGCGACCUUGCGAUCCACGCCUCUUCCUCCUUCUGCAGCUUUUCCCAGCGAUGGGGGUCAGUCCCAGAGCUGGUGGCCUCAAGUUUGACUCUGGGAGUGACGUGGACCCCGGAUCUUCCUUCACCAGCCAUGAAAGCAUCUCGAUGUGGCCAGGUAAGAGAGCAUCAGUGUAGGGCAGCUGGUUAUGGGGAUAACGGAGAUCUGCCCUCUGUCAUGCAGGCUGGGAUUCUUGGAGUGGUAUUUCCAGAAGGUUCUUGCUGUUGAAGAAAGAUCCGUGCACUACCAAAGGCCUGGACAUAGAUCAGAGCCAGGAAAGAACACGUUAGAUUUCUCACGUCAAUAGUCAUUGCUUUGUAUUCAAAAUGAGGAAUGCAUCUCAAAAUGAUGCUUCAAAAGCAGGUGACAAUCACACACGAUCAGCACUUGAGGAUCUGGUGAUGGGUCAUCUAUAAUGUUUACAUAUGGCCCAGUUUAGGCGCAGUCCUCAUCCAAAGUGGAGGGGAAAUGGAUUUCUCCAUCAGCAACAGACUGUUAAGGAUCAUUCGUGUGAUGCCUUUUGCAAAGUAUUUAGGGAUGGAUUGGUCUCAGUUGGCCAAUUAAGAUCCAUUAGGAGUGUAAUCAUUAGGUAAAAGCUGGCCAGAGCAGGAUGUGAUGCCCAAGUGGACAGAUUCAGGAAUAAGGCCACUUUCAACCCCAUCUAUUAUUCAUUCAAGGCAAUGUGUUUCUGUACCGUCUUUCUCUCCAGACUGGCAACAUAAAAUUACGCCAACAAAAUAAAAACCAGGAGUUUGAAAGCA